rnacentral:rRNA from 1 species
GACGAACGCUGGCGGCGUGCUUAACACAUGCAAGUCGAACGGAAAGGCCCUGCUUUUGUGGGGUGCUCGAGUGGCGAACGGGUGAGUAACACGUGAGUAACCUGCCCUUGACUUUGGGAUAACUUCAGGAAACUGGGGCUAAUACCGGAUAGGAGCUCCUGCUGCAUGGUGGGGGUUGGAAAGUUUCGUCGGUUGGGGAUGGACUCGCGGCUUAUCAGCUUGUUGGUGGGGUAGUGGCUUACCAAGGCUUUGACGGGUAGCCGGCCUGAGAGGGUGACCGGCCACAUUGGGACUGAGAUACGGCCCAGAAUCAUACGGGAGGCAGCAGUGGGGAAUAUUGCACAAUGGGCAGAAGCCUGAUGCAGCAACGCCGCGUGCGGGAUGACGGCCUUCGGGUUGUAAACCGCUUUCGCCUGUGACGAAGCGUGAGUGACGGUAAUGGGUAAAGAAGCACCGGCUAACUACGUG